ensembl:lncRNA
GAUGUUUAUCAGAUGUCGCCGCAUCAGGUCAUGACAUCAGCUUUUCUUCUUUACUUCCUCGAUUUAACGUCCUGCCUCUUCUUCUCUUUAUAAAAACCUGCUGAAUUACUGUCCUCAGUGACGCCUCCACCUCUCCGGACUGAGACACCACAGACCGUCCUCCACCUGAGCAAGUAAACUUCCACCACCAGCUGUUUGACAAUCAGACUGUUGGAAACAGCAGUGAAGGUAAAAACUUUUAAAUCAGUGUUUUAUCAGCCUGUUAGAUUACCCUUCUGAUCAACUGUGAGGUCAACGAGGGUUAAGAACUGCAGAAGAUGAGCCAACUGAUGAACUGUUCUCUGUUCUGUGUUCCAGUAUUCAUACUUCCAUGAGUACACUUAAACAUAGUACACUAUCCACACUUUUCAGUACGCAGAUUUCUGCAGGUGAGUGUUGUUCCAAAUCUAAUACUCCGUGGUGCACUUACCGGAAAUUACGAUUGCGACAGCCGCUGCAGCUCGUCACCCGCCAAAAACAUCCUGCUUUGAAAGUUGAACAAAAGAAAUCUACGACUUCACUUUUUAACAAUUACAAUCCUACAAUCCUGCAAUAUGGCUCUGCUGCAGGCGCUGUCGUCUCAGUAGCCAUUUCAAAAAAUGUUUUUCUUUUCGCCGCGAUCGAUAUCGGAACACCCUAAGUACUCAAACUAAGUAUAGUAGGUACGGGAAGUAUGGAUAUCGGAACAAGGCACUGGACAAGAGUAAUGAACUCUGAGGGCCGGAGUGGGCGCCGCCAUCACUGUAGACUGUUGCUGCUCUUAAUAUGCUGACGAUCCUAUGUUCUAAUGUUCUGAUGUUCUGGUGUUUUGAUGUUCUGGUGUUCACCCUGCCUGCUGUGCAGAUGAAUCCUCUUCCCUGGAUGACGCUGGUGUUCCUGCUGUCGGCUCGCUCCAGUUUGGCCGUUGUGGACCAGAACUGGCUGACUGGUAUCGUCAGUGGAAUCAGGGCUGAGUACAAAAUAGAAAAUGAACAGUUCUGUCUGGCUGCAAAUAUCCCAAGGGACCUCGACCCAAAAGACCUUCAUCAAGUCCUCCAGAACGACCGCUACGAAAGAGAUGUUAAAGACAUUAUUGAUGGCUGUGUAGUAUACGAAGGCAACAAUGUGGUUGUAGCCAAACCUGUAGAAUCGGUACAUGCAGAACCUCAAGUUCUGCAAAACAUGAAACAAUUAACGAGCAACAAGCAGAAUAACAUCCUGCUCAUCUACUCCUACCUCUCCCCAUGUGGAGAAAAGUGUACGAAACUGUACCAUCAGUACAACAUCAUCAAAUACAUGACAACGAUAAUAAAACAACAACAGAAAAAAAAUGUUCCACACUGGAGUGAUGUUGUCUUUGUGUUCACAAGAGUCUUUGAUUCACCAAAGUAUGGCAAUCUGCCGACCAAAGAGGAGCUGAAAGAAUCACUGGAACGGCUCGGGAAUUCUGGACUUGGUCUUCAAAACAUUUUCCGCUGCUACAAACCGGAAAAUUUAGAAUUUCAGUGCCACAGCUGCUCGUCAAACACGAAGGUUUCAGAUGUUUGUGUCGAUAACAACUUUGUACCUGGACAGGGAGGAAGAAGCAGCCCAGUCAGGGACAGGAGUAGGAGCAGCAGCAGCGGCAGGAGCAGCAGCAACAGGGGCAGCAGCAGGAGCAGCAGCAGCAGCAGCAGCAACAACAGGAGCAGCAGCAGGAGCAGCAGCAGGGGCAGCAGCAACAACAGGAGCAGCAGCAGCGGCAGGAGCAGCAGCAACAGGGGCAGCAGCAGGAGCAGCAGCAGCAGCAGCAUCAUUAGCAGAAAGAGAGUCAAAUACAGUCCAAGUGCGCAGAAGUCCAACUUCAUGGGGUAGAUGAGUUCUGGUUCCUGAUAUGAUUCAGUUGGUUCAUCAGAAUAUGACCCAACUGACUGAACUUGAGAGGUUCUUGAUUCUUAAUGAUGCAGGUUUUCCCUGAAUGACUGAUAUCAGCAUUUCUCUAUGAAUAUAAAGCUUCUGGAUGUUUCUGUUGUCCAACCACCUAUCUGGGUGAUCUGACCUGUUUUUUUCUUCCCGUUGAUUAGAAACAUGUAAACGAUCAUUACAUCAUCACACCUGAUAGAAACAUAUUGAUCUACUGUUCAACCUAAAGUUUGCUGUCAGGACUCAGACCUGUAUGUAACUCUGUGGACGACUUCAUUGAUAAAGUUUUGCUUUUAAAGUUAAGUUUUCAGAGAGCAGGUACUCGGUGCUGAUGUACUGAUGGUCCAUUACAACAUGGUUGUGUUCCAGUGUGAUAAUCUGAUUACAGCUUUUUAAAGUCAACCCUGAUUUAAAAGCUUUGACAUCCUGCUACACAAAGAAUGUUACAUACAUUUUAAAAUGCCCUGUAAGAAACUCUUUGAUAGAAAUGAAAACUGUCAUCCUGUGACCUGACUGAUGGAUUACAUGUGAAAUAAUGAUCAUAUAUUGAUGAAACCUGCCUGAUCUCUGCGGACUCCUCAGUGUUGACGACACAAUCAUUUUAUUGAGCAUGUAAAGACUGAAAGCUUCACUGUUCUGCAUGUUAACUCUAAAUAAAGCUUUAGCAUCAAACCCCGUCUCUGUGUGACGUUGAGCUCAACCAACAAAGACCAACUAUCAAUUAUCACUCAGUUAUCAAUACAUUAUUUUAUGGCAGCUGAUUGGACAAAGAAUGAUGGUUUAGAAUGUAUAUUAUAUGAGAAACUUAACAGGAUUCAGUUUUUUCUUUUAAAAUAAAGUCAACUUGCUUGCAG